GCUAUUCCUCAAUACGAAAACAGAGGUUGAAUUCAGGUUGUAGUGAUAUUGGGGACGAGCAUUGCCGAGAAGUGCAAAGCCAGCCGUGUAGGAGUAGCAGGUAAUUAUCUAACUGAAUUCUUCACUUGACGAUUUUUGUUUGAGGUUUUUCAAUUUGAAAGUGAAGAUGCAAACAUGGACGCGGGUUUGUGGAGGUGAUGGCGCCAGUCUUGUGAAGGGAUACGGAGAUGUGUGUGCCACUGAUUUAGGUACUCUUUUCAGCAGAAAAUUGACAUUUUUUUACUUGCCUGAUCUAAAAGUGAGGACAAUGAGUUUGACUGCCGAUUAUUUUUAACUUGUACGUACAUGAUUGCCAUUAUAAAUGCUCAGUACAUGGUCCAUUGUGGAGUUCCCAUGCUCCAGGGCGAGGUAAUUGUAAGUUUUUUUUGUCAGCUCAAACUUCUGAAAAAUUGAUGCCCCUUGCUUGCUCUGUUUUUUGUAUGCUCACCAGUUAAAUCUCCUCUUCUCCUUGAGGGUGAAAAAGAAAAGCCAACAUGCUGUUUUGAAAAGCCAACAGUAGAGGAAAAUAAUAUUCAGUGUAGAUUUGUUGGGUAUACGUGUUAAAAAAUUAGCUGGGUGUACAACAACAACCAAAAAAGUUCAAUUUGUUUUGCUGAGAAAUAAAAUAACUCAAGUUUUGCUCGAAUUAGACAAGAAACAUUCCAAUUAAUCUUUUCUUAAAAGAGUUUGUCUUUGUCGGAUAAGGACUAUAGAAGAGUUCAAGUGCGAACUUGUUCCUUUCUGCUAUUAUCCUCUGUGCUGGUUCUUUUACAUGUACUGACUUAUAAAUCAUUUAUGUUUUUGUAGAACGGAUGGUCCACCAUAAAAGAAAAAUCACGAGGCAUUGUAGUCAUGGGUGAAGGAUCAUAAGGACAUGUGAUGGUGUCUCAUGAGUGAAGAGAAAAUAUUUACUGGUUGUGAUACAUUGGACUGACUUUCAUGAACUAACAUUUUUGUAGGGCUGAUGGUCCACCAUACUAUUAUAGAAGCACCAGGAGUGAUGAAAAUGAUAUUCAUUCAAACAACAAUUGUGUACCUCGAUUGAAGAUUAAUAGAUAUGAUAUUUUUUAGUUGUCUUGUUUUGUAUAUAGGCAUGAUGAAGUACGUUGGUCAUAUAAGGAGUGCGUUCGCCUCAAAUUUCUUGAAGGAUAUUUUAAUUUUAGAAUUGUAUGUCAGAAUAUUGACAUUUCUAUUAAUAAAAGAGGCUAUGAUCCUUUUCAUAUUACAUUAUUUCGAUAUUAAUGUGGAUGUUAAUAUUGAAAUGUUGGAUGUUGCAUAAAG
rnacentral:lncRNA from 1 species